AGGACAAACGCUGGCGGCGUGCUUAAUACAUGCAAGUCGAACGGUCUACUUUCGGGUAGAUAGUGGCGGACGGGUGAGUAACACGUAGUUGACCUGCCCUAUAGUGGGGAAUAACUCCUCGAAAGAGGAGCUAAUACCGCAUAAGCUCUCUGUUGUUGGACAGAGAGGAAACCUUACUCUUCGGAGCCGGGGCUAUUGGAGGGGACUGCGGCGGAUUAGCUAGAUGGUGGGGUAAAAGCCUACCAUGGCGACGAUCCGUAGCUGGUCUGAGAGGACGAUCAGCCACACUGGGACUGAGACACGGCCCAGACUCCUACGGGAGGCAGCAGUAAGGAAUAUUCACAAUGGACGAAAGCCUGAUGGAGCGACGCCGCG
rnacentral:rRNA from 1 species